UUCCUGCACUGAAUCCAACAAGUCCUUCUUUGGUCUCCAGUAGGUUACUGGGAACUUAGUAAUGGGGAAGUUCUGAACUCAUCUUUGCUCCAUGUGGAGCAAAGUCAGCCAUUACUAUUGCCAGUUAUUCUUUCAGAUGUUUUAAAUUACAGUUCUAUUGCUUUAUUUAUGCAUGUAUUUUAUCUCCAUGUGUUUCAUGAGAACGUGGAGCUGCAUGUCACAGUACCUUUUUUCCAUGGGUUAAAGGAAACUGUUCUAACACUCCCAGCUUGUGCUGGCCAGUCAUUCUCUCGUUGUAAUUAGCAUGAAGACUACCCUUCAGUCAAAACUAGCCACCUGGAAAGUUUCAGCUUGUAAUAUGCAGCUUUUUUUGUGAAUUAUGAAUGUGCAAAAAAGAGACCUUUCUCCUUACACCCACUUCCUUGCAUAAUUCAAAAUAUGAAUGAAUGAAUUUUAUUCAGGCUUGCCAAAAAAAUUAUAUUUCAGCUGAUAACAAGCAUGAAAAAUUUUAGAUGAAAGGGAUUAGAAAAAAAAAAAAGAAUAUUCUGAGCAUGGGAGAACAGCAGGUUAAGACAGAAGUCUGUAACUAUAACAAUUGCUAUCAAGCAAAUACCAUAUCCAAGCACUAAAUCUUGCUUUGUGCUGCCCUAGUGCACAGUAGCAGGGACAGAGUAGAAUAAUAAAAGCUGAUCCCCUUAUGCAAACAGCAGGGCAGAGCACUUGAGAGAAUACAAGGAGAAGGUGAGCCUGCCUGCUCUUCUGGCUUGCUAACCAUAUUCCCAAGGUCUGUGGGUUAGUUGUCUAGCUCCAGUCAGAUAGCAAAAGGUACUUCAAACACUAGCAAAGGGAAUGUUUUGGUCCUUUCCAGAAGAACAUUUUACUAAUUCCUUGCCUCCAAAUGUACUGUUCUAUUAAAUAAAGUAUUUGAAGGAAUUCAUAUAAGCAACAUCAUGGUUUAAUGGGUCAAAAAGGGAACAGAAUCAGUGCCAGGAAUUUUUGAGAUUGUGUAUUUUAAGAAUAUAUAUCUGUGAAGAAGGUAUUAUCUGUGCAAAGCAGAAUGAGAUUUGGGCUCAUGCCAGUACCACUUUGAAAAUAAACUAUCACAGUGAAGAAAUGUUA